UACGAAGGGUGCUAGCGUUGUUCGGAAUUACUGGGCGUAAAGAGCGCGUAGGCGGUUAUACAAGUCAGGGGUGAAAUCCCAGAGCUUAACUCUGGAACUGCCUUUGAAACUGUAUAGCUGGAGUGUGUGAGGGAUAGCGGAAUUCGUUAAUGUAGAGGUGAAAUUCGUAGAUAUUAAGAGGAACACCGGUGGCGAAGGCGGCUAUCUGGCACACAACUGACGCUGAGG
rnacentral:rRNA from 1 species